AUUGAACGCUGGCGGCAUGCCUUACACAUGCAAGUCGAACGGCAGCGGGCCUUCGGGUGCCGGCGAGUGGCGAACGGGUGAGUAAUGCAUCGGAACGUGCCAUUGAGUGGGGGGAUAACGUAGCGAAAGUUACGCUAAUACCGCAUAUUCUGUGAGCAGGAAAGCAGGGGGACCCGCAAGGCCUUGCGCUCUUUGAGCGGCCGAUGUCAGAUUAGCUAGUUGGUGAGGUAAAGGCUUACCAAGGCGACGAUCUGUAGCGGGUCUGAGAGGAUGAUCCGCCACACUGGAACUGAGACACGGUCCAGACUCCUACGGGAGGCAGCAGUGGGGAAUUUUGGACAAUGGGCGCAAGCCUGAUCCAGCCAUUCCGCGUGCAGGAUGAAGGCCUUC
rnacentral:rRNA from 1 species